rnacentral:lncRNA from 1 species
AGUUUACAGAAACCCAAUCACUGUUGGUUGACUUGAAGACAGGAUCUCUGCCUACAAACUUUUCAUAGUUUAGGAGAAAAAUCCUAUUAAUCAUCCAAGGUUCAACCAAGAAGAGAGGUCACUCUAAGUAUUUAUAACAGAGGACUCUCAUUACCCAGGUUAUAGGAAGACUUUGAGGCCAGAGCACAGUGACAUUGGAGGGAGCCGCAACCCUCCCUGGGUUGAAGGAACUAAGGAGAAUGUGGCAGAAUUGGCCGGAAGCAGAAUUGCCUGUUUCCAGUGAGGCCCCCUUGCCCUCUUGGAAGCAAUUGCUGUGUAGGAAGUCUGAACACCUCACAGGAGAUGGAGGCCCGGCCAGUUCCUGCCUGCUGUAGCCG